UUUAUGGAGAGUUUGAUCCUGGCUCAGAGUGAACGCUGGCGGCGUGCCUAAUACAUGCAAGUCGAACGAUGAAGCUUCUAGCUUGCUAGAAUGCUGAUUAGUGGCGCACGGGUGAGUAACGCAUAGGUCAUGUGCCUCUUAGUUUGGGAUAGCCAUUGGAAACGAUGAUUAAUACCAGAUACUCCCUACGGGGGAAAGAUUUAUCGCUAAGAGAUCAGCCUAUGUCCUAUCAGCUUGUUGGUAAGGUAAUGGCUUACCAAGGCUAUGACGGGUAUCCGGCCUGAGAGGGUGAACGGACACACUGGAACUGAGACACGGUCCAGACUCCUACGGGAGGCAGCAGUAGGGAAUAUUGCUCAAUGGGGGAAACCCUGAAGCAGCAACGCCGCGUGGAGGAUGAAGGUUUUAGGAUUGUAAACUCCUUUUGUUAGAGAAGAUAAUGACGGUAUCUAACGAAUAAGCACCGGCUAACUCCGUGCCAGCAGCCGCGGUAAUACGGAGGGUGCAAGCGUUACUCGGAAUCACUGGGCGUAAAGAGCGCGUAGGCGGGAUAGUCAGUCAGGUGUGAAAUCCUAUGGCUUAACCAUAGAACUGCAUUUGAAACUACUAUUCUAGAGUGUGGGAGAGGUAGGUGGAAUUCUUGGUGUAGGGGUAAAAUCCGUAGAGAUCAAGAGGAAUACUCAUUGCGAAGGCGACCUGCUGGAACAUUACUGACGCUGAUUGCGCGAAAGCGUGGGGAGCAAACAGGAUUAGAUACCCUGGUAGUCCACGCCCUAAACGAUGGAUGCUAGUUGUUGGAGGGCUUAGUCUCUCCAGUAAUGCAGCUAACGCAUUAAGCAUCCCGCCUGGGGAGUACGGUCGCAAGAUUAAAACUCAAAGGAAUAGACGGGGACCCGCACAAGCGGUGGAGCAUGUGGUUUAAUUCGAAGAUACACGAAGAACCUUACCUAGGCUUGACAUUGAGAGAAUCCGCUAGAAAUAGUGGAGUGUCUGGCUUGCUAGACCUUGAAAACAGGUGCUGCACGGCUGUCGUCAGCUCGUGUCGUGAGAUGUUGGGUUAAGUCCCGCAACGAGCGCAACCCCCUUUCUUAGUUGCUAACAGGUUAUGCUGAGAACUCUAAGGAUACUGCCUCCGUAAGGAGGAGGAAGGUGGGGACGACGUCAAGUCAUCAUGGCCCUUACGCCUAGGGCUACACACGUGCUACAAUGGGGUGCACAAAGAGAAGCAAUACUGCGAAGUGGAGCCAAUCUUCAAAACACCUCUCAGUUCGGAUUGUAGGCUGCAACUCGCCUGCAUGAAGCUGGAAUCGCUAGUAAUCGCAAAUCAGCCAUGUUGCGGUGAAUACGUUCCCGGGUCUUGUACUCACCGCCCGUCACACCAUGGGAGUUGUGUUUGCCUUAAGUCAGGAUGCUAAAUUGGCUACUGCCCACGGCACACACAGCGACUGGGGUGAAGUCGUAACAAGGUAACCGUAGGUGAACCUGCGGUUGGAUCACCUCCUUUCUAGA
rnacentral:rRNA from 1 species